GCUGGGCGUGGUAGUGCAUACCUGUAAUCCCAGCAGCUCAGGAGGCUGAGGCAGGGAGAUCAAGAGUUCAAAGCCAGCCUCAGCAAAAGCGAGGCGCUAAGCAACUCAGUGAGACCCUGUCUCUA
rnacentral:sRNA from 1 species